GUGAGUAACACGUGAGCAACCUGCCCUAGGCUUUGGGAUAACCCCGGGAAACCGGGGCUAAUACCGAAUAUGACCUCCGAUCGCAUGGUUGGUGGUGGAAAGUUUUUCGGCCUGGGAUGGGCUCGCGGCCUAUCAGCUUGUUGGUGGGGUGAUGGCCUACCAAGGCGACGACGGGUAGCCGGCCUGAGAGGGCGACCGGCCACACUGGGACUGAGACACGGCCCAGACUCCUACGGGAGGCAGCAGUGGGGAAUAUUGCACAAUGGGCGGAAGCCUGAUGCAGCGACGCCGCGUGAGGGAUGACGGCCUUCGGGUUGUAAACCUCUUUCAGCAGGGACGAAGCGUAAGUGACGGUACCUGCAGAAGAAGCGCCGGCCAACUACGUGCCAGCAGCCGCGGUAAGACGUAGGGCGCGAGCGUUGUCCGGAUUUAUUGGGCGUAAAGAGCUCGUAGGCGGCUUGUCGCGUCGACCGUGAAAACUUGGGGCUCAACCCCAAGCCUGCGGUCGAUACGGGCAGGCUAGAGUUCGGUAGGGGAGACUGGAAUUCCUGGUGUAGCGGUGAAAUGCGCAGAUAUCAGGAGGAACACCGGUGGCGAAGGCGGGUCUCUGGGCCGAUACUGACGCUGAGGAGCGAAAGCGUGGGGAGCGAACAGGAUUAGAUACCCUGGUAGUCCACGCU
rnacentral:rRNA from 1 species